rnacentral:rRNA from 1 species
UACGAAGGGGGCUAGCGUUGCUCGGAAUCACUGGGCGUAAAGCGCACGUAGGCGGCUUUCUAAGUCAGGGGUGAAAUCCUGGAGCUCAACUCCAGAACUGCCUUUGAUACUGGGAAGCUUGAGUCCGGAAGAGGUGAGUGGAACUGCGAGUGUAGAGGUGAAAUUCGUAGAUAUUCGCAAGAACACCAGUGGCGAAGGCGGCUCACUGGCCCGUAACUGACGCUGAGGCACGAAAGCGUGGGGAGCAAACAGG